GCCAGUGUGGUGUAGUGGUUUGAACGCUGGACUUCGACUCUGGAGAGCAGGGUUGGAUCCCCAGCUCAGCUA